UACGAAGGGGCUAGCGUUGCUCGGAAUCACUGGGCGUAAAGGGUGCGUAGGCGGGUCUUUAAGUCAGGGGUGAAAUCCUGGAGCUCAACUCCAGAACUGCCUUUGAUACUGAAGAUCUUGAGUUCGGGAGAGGUGAGUGGAACUGCGAGUGUAGAGGUGAAAUUCGUAGGUAUUCGCAAGAACACCAGUGGCGAAGGCGGCUCACUGGCCCGAUACUGACGCUGAGGCACGAAAGCGUGGGGAGCAAACAGGG
rnacentral:rRNA from 1 species